rnacentral:rRNA from 1 species
UACGUAGGGACCAAGCGUUGUUCGGAUUUACUGGGCGUAAAGGGCGCGUAGGCGGCAUGACAAGUCACUUGUGAAAUCUCUGGGCUUAACCCAGAACGGCCAAGUGAUACUGUCGCGCUAGAGUGCAGAAGGGGCAAUCGGAAUUCUCGGUGUAGCGGUGAAAUGCGUAGAUAUCGAGAGGAACACCAGAGGUGAAGACGGGUUGCUGGGCUGACACUGACGCUGAGGCGCGAAAGCGUGGGGAGCGAACAGG